rnacentral:rRNA from 1 species
UACGUAGGGGGCAAGCGUUGUUCGGAAUUACUGGGCGUAAAGCGCGCGUAGGCGGUUUGGCAAGUCAGAUGUGAAAGCCCCGGGCUCAACUUGGGAACUGCAUUUGAUACUGCCAGACUAGAGUACAGAAGAGGUGACUGGAAUUCCCAGUGUAGCGGUGAAAUGCGUAGAUAUUGGGAGGAACACCAGAUGCGAAGGCGGGUCACUGGGCUGAUACUGACGCUGAUGCGCGAAAGCCAGGGGAGCGAACGGG